rnacentral:rRNA from 1 species
AGAAUCAACGCUGGCGGCGUGCCUAACACAUGCAAGUCGCACGAGAACGGAGAGCAAUCUCUGAGUAAAGUGGCGCACGGGUGAGUAACACGUGAAUUAUCUACCUCCGAGUGGGGAAUAACCUAGAGAAAUCUGGGCUAAUACCGCAUAACACUUACGAGUCAAAGCAGCAAUGUGCUUGGAGAGGAGUUCGCGGCCGAUUAGCUAGUUGGCGGGGUAAUGGCCCACCAAGGCGAUGAUCGGUAUCCGGCCUGAGAGGGCGCACGGACACACUGGAACUGAAACACGGUCCAGACUCCUACGGGAGGCAGCAGUGGGGAAUUUUGCGCAAUGGGGGAAACCCUGACGCAGCAACGCCGCGUGGAGGAUGAAGUAUCUUGGUACGUAAACUCCUUUCGAUGGGGAAGAUAAUGACGGUACCCAUAGAAGAAGCCCGGCUAACUUCGCGCCAGCAGCCGC